UCAUCUUCGUUUUGGAUGAGAAUACAUGAAGUUACAUGAGACUCUACAGGAUUUUGAGAUAAAUAAAUAUACAAAUCGAGAGGUAACUUAUGAGGAG